GACGAACGCUGGCGGCGUGCUUAACACAUGCAAGUCGAGCGGUAAGGCCCUUUCGGGGGUACGACGAGCGGCGAACGGGUGAGUAACACGUGGGUGACCUGCCCUCAGCUCUGGGAUAAGCCUGGGAAACCGGGUCUAAUACCGGAUAUGACUCCAUGACGCAUGUUGUGGGGUGGAAAGCCUUGUGCGGCUGAGGAUGGGCCCGCGGCCUAUCAGCUUGUUGGUGGGGNGAUGGCCUACCAAGGCGACGACGGGUAGCCGGCCUGAGAGGGCGACCGGCCACACUGGGACUGAGACACGGCCCAGACUCCUACGGGAGGCAGCAGGUGGGGAAUCUUGCGCAAGUGGGCGAAAGCCUGACGCAGCGACGCCGCGUGA
rnacentral:rRNA from 1 species